GGGUUGUGAGGUUAAGCGACUAAGCGUACACGGUGGAUGCCCUGGCAGUCAGAGGCGAUGAAGGACGUGCUAAUCUGCGAUAAGCGUCGGUAAGGUGAUAUGAACCGUUAUAACCGGCGAUUUCCGAAUGGGGAAACCCAGUGUGAUUCGUCACACUAUCAUUAACUGAAUCCAUAGGUUAAUGAGGCGAACCGGGGGAACUGAAACAUCUAAGUACCCCGAGGAAAAGAAAUCAACCGAGAUUCCCCCAGUAGCGGCGAGCGAACGGGGAGGAGCCCAGAGCCUGAAUCAGUGUGUGUGUUAGUGGAAGCGUCUGGAAAGGCGCGCGAUACAGGGUGACAGCCCCGUACACAAAAAUGCACAUACUGUGAGCUCGAUGAGUAGGGCGGGACACGUGGUAUCCUGUCUGAAUAUGGGGGGACCAUCCUCCAAGGCUAAAUACUCCUGACUGACCGAUAGUGAACCAGUACCGUGAGGGAAAGGCGAAAAGAACCCCGGCGAGGGGAGUGAAAAAGAACCUGAAACCGUGUACGUACAAGCAGUGGGAGCACGCUUCGGCGUGUGACUGCGUACCUUUUGUAUAAUGGGUCAGCGACUUAUAUUCUGUAGCAAGGUUAACCGAAUAGGGGAGCCGAAGGGAAACCGAGUCUUAACUGGGCGUUAAGUUGCAGGGUAUAGACCCGAAACCCGGUGAUCUAGCCAUGGGCAGGUUGAAGGUUGGGUAACACUAACUGGAGGACCGAACCGACUAAUGUUGAAAAAUUAGCGGAUGACUUGUGGCUGGGGGUGAAAGGCCAAUCAAACCGGGAGAUAGCUGGUUCUCCCCGAAAGCUAUUUAGGUAGCGCCUCGUGAAUUCAUCUCCGGGGGUAGAGCACUGUUUCGGCAAGGGGGUCAUCCCGACUUACCAACCCGAUGCAAACUGCGAAUACCGGAGAAUGUUAUCACGGGAGACACACGGCGGGUGCUAACGUCCGUCGUGAAGAGGGAAACAACCCAGACCGCCAGCUAAGGUCCCAAAGUCAUGGUUAAGUGGGAAACGAUGUGGGAAGGCCCAGACAGCCAGGAUGUUGGCUUAGAAGCAGCCAUCAUUUAAAGAAAGCGUAAUAGCUCACUGGUCGAGUCGGCCUGCGCGGAAGAUGUAACGGGGCUAAACCAUGCACCGAAGCUGCGGCAGCGACACUAUGUGUUGUUGGGUAGGGGAGCGUUCUGUAAGCCUGCGAAGGUGGCCUGUGAGGGUUGCUGGAGGUAUCAGAAGUGCGAAUGCUGACAUAAGUAACGAUAAAGCGGGUGAAAAGCCCGCUCGCCGGAAGACCAAGGGUUCCUGUCCAACGUUAAUCGGGGCAGGGUGAGUCGACCCCUAAGGCGAGGCCGAAAGGCGUAGUCGAUGGGAAACAGGUUAAUAUUCCUGUACUUGGUGUUACUGCGAAGGGGGGACGGAGAAGGCUAUGUUGGCCGGGCGACGGUUGUCCCGGUUUAAGCGUGUAGGCUGGUUUUCCAGGCAAAUCCGGAAAAUCAAGGCUGAGGCGUGAUGACGAGGCACUACGGUGCUGAAGCAACAAAUGCCCUGCUUCCAGGAAAAGCCUCUAAGCAUCAGGUAACAUCAAAUCGUACCCCAAACCGACACAGGUGGUCAGGUAGAGAAUACCAAGGCGCUUGAGAGAACUCGGGUGAAGGAACUAGGCAAAAUGGUGCCGUAACUUCGGGAGAAGGCACGCUGAUAUGUAGGUGAAGCGACUUGCUCGUGGAGCUGAAAUCAGUCGAAGAUACCAGCUGGCUGCAACUGUUUAUUAAAAACACAGCACUGUGCAAACACGAAAGUGGACGUAUACGGUGUGACGCCUGCCCGGUGCCGGAAGGUUAAUUGAUGGGGUUAGCGGUAACGCGAAGCUCUUGAUCGAAGCCCCGGUAAACGGCGGCCGUAACUAUAACGGUCCUAAGGUAGCGAAAUUCCUUGUCGGGUAAGUUCCGACCUGCACGAAUGGCGUAAUGAUGGCCAGGCUGUCUCCACCCGAGACUCAGUGAAAUUGAACUCGCUGUGAAGAUGCAGUGUACCCGCGGCAAGACGGAAAGACCCCGUGAACCUUUACUAUAGCUUGACACUGAACAUUGAGCCUUGAUGUGUAGGAUAGGUGGGAGGCUUUGAAGUGUGGACGCCAGUCUGCAUGGAGCCGACCUUGAAAUACCACCCUUUAAUGUUUGAUGUUCUAACGUUGGCCCCUGAUCGGGGUUGCGGACAGUGUCUGGUGGGUAGUUUGACUGGGGCGGUCUCCUCCUAAAGAGUAACGGAGGAGCACGAAGGUUGGCUAAUCCUGGUCGGACAUCAGGAGGUUAGUGCAAUGGCAUAAGCCAGCUUGACUGCGAGCGUGACGGCGCGAGCAGGUGCGAAAGCAGGUCAUAGUGAUCCGGUGGUUCUGAAUGGAAGGGCCAUCGCUCAACGGAUAAAAGGUACUCCGGGGAUAACAGGCUGAUACCGCCCAAGAGUUCAUAUCGACGGCGGUGUUUGGCACCUCGAUGUCGGCUCAUCACAUCCUGGGGCUGAAGUAGGUCCCAAGGGUAUGGCUGUUCGCCAUUUAAAGUGGUACGCGAGCUGGGUUUAGAACGUCGUGAGACAGUUCGGUCCCUAUCUGCCGUGGGCGCUGGAGAACUGAGGGGGGCUGCUCCUAGUACGAGAGGACCGGAGUGGACGCAUCACUGGUGUUCGGGUUGUCAUGCCAAUGGCACUGCCCGGUAGCUAAAUGCGGAAGAGAUAAGUGCUGAAAGCAUCUAAGCACGAAACUUGCCCCGAGAUGAGUUCUCCCUGACUCCCUGAGAGUCCUGAAGGAACGUUGAAGACGACGACGUUGAUAGGCCGGGUGUGUAAGCGCAGCGAUGCGUUGAGCUAACCGGUACUAAUGAACCGUGAGGCUUAACCUUACAACGCCGAAG
rnacentral:rRNA from 1 species